rnacentral:rRNA from 1 species
AGCGAACGCUGGCGGCAGGCCUAACACAUGCAAGUCGAACGAAGUCUUCGGACUUAGUGGCGGACGGGUGAGUAACACGUGGGAACGUGCCUUUAGGUUCGGAAUAACUCAGGGAAACUUGUGCUAAUACCGAAUGUGCCCUUCGGGGGAAAGAUUUAUCGCCUUUAGAGCGGCCCGCGUCUGAUUAGCUAGUUGGUGAGGUAAAGCAUCACCAAGGCUACGAUCAGUAGCUGGUCUGAGAGGAUGACCAGCGACAGUGGGACUGAGACACGGCCCAAACUCCUACGUGAGGCAGCAGUGGGGAAUCGUGCACAAUGGGCGAAAGCCUGACGCAGCCAUGCCGCGUGGAUGAUGAAGGUCUUAGGAUUCUAAAAUCCUUUCACCGGUGAAGAUAAUGACGGUAGCCGGAGAAGAAGCCCCGGCUAACUUCGUGCCAGCCGCCGCCGUAACAC